rnacentral:lncRNA from 1 species
GGGGGUGGGAGUCAGAAGUUCAGCCAUGGAGUGGAGUUUGUUCUUUUGUUAUCAUUUAAUGCGGGUGCCUUAGAUAACCAACUGGAACAUGCAUUGGUGUCUCUAGCAACGGUGAUGCUAGAAUCUCCUUCCUUGAUUGUACAAUGUACACAAGGUAUGUUUUCAGUUUGACUAACACUUAUUCAGAUGUUGCCUUGUUAGCCAUUUUGUUACUGGAUCUUUUAGCAUAAUCAGUUGUCAUAUAAUUCUAGUUUAUAUCAGAAUAAUCAGUUGUCAUAUUUUCCUAAUACUAUAUGUUUGAACUUUUAAGCUUAAGUAAAAUGAAUUUCUGUCCUACCAUAAUAUGUUCAAUAUCAAAGACCUUUAGGGGGGUCUUUCCUCAAAUGGCACGAACCGAGACAUGUGAUGAUAUUCUUCAACAGGUCAUUUUUCUAUUUGGUUAUACCGGGUUAGUGUAUAACUAUUUGAUUUGGUGACUGUUUUGAUUUAUUUCUCAUUUAGUUUCAUUUGGAUUUGUGGGUUUCGUGCAGGUUGAUGACCCUCGACUUAUUCAACGAAUUUCAGUUGCAGCAUCAGGCAGGCGGUAGCUACAAAGACUAAGACGCCUCAUGAUGCAUGUGAUAGACUGGUGUGGUUUUGCUACCUAUUCUCUUUAUCUCAGUUUUCCUUUUCUUGUUUUUCUUUUGUUUUGCCUGGAAUGAUUGUGAAAGUUACUGUGGGUAAUGGUUGCCCUUUGAAUGUACUCUCUUGUUACUUUAAUAAUUGGCCAAAUU